GACUGAAAAUCCUCGUGUCACCAGUUCAAAUCUGGUUCUUGGCAU
rnacentral:tRNA from 3 species